UACGGAGGGUGCAAGCGUUAUCCGGAUUCACUGGGUUUAAAGGGAGCGUAGGCGGAAUAAUAAGUCAGUGUUGAAACCCCCGGGCUCAACUUGGGAAUUGCCAUUGAUACUGUUAUUCUUGAGUUCGGUUGAGGUAGGCGGAAUGUUGCAUGUAGCGGUGAAAUGCUUAGAUAUGCAACAGAACACCGAUUGCGAAGGAAGCUUACCAAGCCGACACUGACGCUGAAGCUCGAAAGCGUGGGGAUCAAACAGG
rnacentral:rRNA from 1 species